UGAAGGAGCCUCUUCCUCCUUGUCUUCUUCUUACACCCAGUCAUGGACAUAUGAUGUCUCCCUCAGUUUUAGAGGAGAGGAUACCCGCUAAAAUUUUGUAGGUCAUCUGUACAACAAUUUGGUUCAGAAGGGAAUCAAAACCUUCAUGGACGAUGAGGCGCUUAAAAGAGGAGCGGAAAUAUCAUUGGCGCUUCUCAAAGAAAUUGAGGAUUCGAGGAUUUCUCUCGUUGUCUUCUCCGAAAACUACGCUUCCUCAGAGUGGUGCUUAGAUGAACUCGUUCACAUCUUUCACUGUAAAAAGCAACUGCAGCAGAUGGUUUUUCCAGUUUUUUACAAGGUGGAUCCAUCGGAUGUGAGGAACCAAAGAGAGUUUCGGUAAGGCACUUGCUGACCAUGAAAGCAAACUCAAAGAUAACAUGGACAAGGUGUUGAGAUGGAGAGAAACUCUUACAAAAGCAGCAAAUUUGUCUGGCUGGUCAUUCCUGGCCGACGGGUAUUUUUCUGACCUCUAUGUACUUGCAAACCUAUCAUUCAAAUGUAAAAUAAGUGUAUUAUUUGCUUCAAUUCAUAAGCAUAAUUUGAAGGCUUUUUAGCCAAAAUGGUUUUUCUGAGCAUAACUCUUUAUUUUUUUCUUUAAGAUUUAAAAUCAAUAGAAAUGGUUCUUGAGAUUGUUCAUCGUCAAUCAUUUUGGAUAUUCUGUGAAAAAAAAAUUUCUAUUAAAUUGAGUGUAUUUUUGUCAAAUCAAUCACUCCACUUGAACUGGUGGUUUCUUCAAUUUAGCUGAGAUUUCUCAUAUAAUGACUAAAAUGAUUGACGAUGGACACUCUCAAGAGACACUUCUAUCGAUUUUAAAUUUCACUGACGAAAAUGACGAGUUAUAACAAUUUUAGCAACUAUUUUAGUUAAAAAGACUAACAUAAAUAUAUAAUAUUUGAGAAAUGCUAAGGAGACCCUCUCAAAAUAGAACUCUCUCACAUCUCAUAGUUUAGUGUUAGUUCCCUUGCCAACAUUCUAAAAUAUUGUGACAAAAAGUUCAUGGAGAGUCUCACUUUUGAGAAAUUAUCCUUAGCAUUUUUUUCAUAAUAUUUUGAUAUUAUUCCCUCACAAUUUAUAGGAAAACUUGUUUAAGUUAUUCAUUAUUAGUAUGUGAAGUGAACACAUAUUGGAGAAUAUGAUCCCACAUCGGCCAUAUGAUAACAUAAUAUACCACAAAUAUAUAAGAGUUUGCACUCCUAAUACUAGCAAGAAUUUUUGUAGUAAAAUCUAAUACUGAGUAGUAUGAGAGUUUUUAUGAUUAGUAUUUCACUAUUAUGUGGAAUAUCCAAAUAUUUUUUUUAGUAUGGUCUAAUAUUAUUCAUUUAGUUCAAAAAUAUUUGACUUUCUUUUUCUUGAGUAGAGUUGUCUGUCUACACUUAAAAUAUUGAUUACAUGGAACAUCCACGAAUUUCUUGUAGUUUAAUUAUAAUAAUGUUCUUUUUUAUGCUUUUAAACUUGUAGGCAUGAAUAUAAAUUUAUUCAAAAAAUUGUUGAAGAGAUUUCGGUCCAAGUUUUAGGUAUUACCCAUUUGAACGUGGCAAAGUACCCAUUUGGAAUAGAGUCACGUGUCAAACAAUCCAGUACGGUUUUUUUGGAUCUUGGAUCUGUUCCUGUCCUCGAUCGCGAGCAAUUAGCCCUCCAACUCCGUCAAGGACAAACCGAAGAUCAAAAGCGCCACCAGCACCAUUUCCUCUCCAGUCUCUCCCCCUCACGCCGUUCCUCCGACGCCGCACCGCCCGCAACCACCGCCAAUUUUGAUCAAGACCGAGAUUGGGAUAGAGAGAGAGACCGAGAGAGAGACGGAGAUCGAGAACGCAUUCCUUUAAUGGUGUUGCUUCCGCCCUCGCUUUCUUAGCCGGAAGAUUUGUUAGGAUUCGCUUUCUUAUGUAUGCUGUGUUACUGAUUGGUUUGGCGAUGCAGGCACAAGAUUGCAGGCAGCUGGAAAGUCGGAUAAGGAGGAAGAAGAAGGAUCUGAUAGUUUUGGGAUUCUUAACCGCUUUGAUGGUCAUCAUCGUUAUAGUUAGAGCAAGUCCACCCCUGUGGACUUUGCGCCAACACCCAGCGCAUUUAUCCACUCAAAUGAACAGUAACAGACUCCAAUGAACAGUAAUAGGCCAAGGCAUCUCCACCCCUAAAACUAAAUAGCCUAGUCAAUUUUAUUAAAAUAUUAUUAAUUUUUAUUAUAAAAUAAUAAUUUUUAUUAAAGUACUCUCUGGACUCCAUUCUUCUUUUUCUUCCGUGAUUUUCCAACUGUGCUGUCAAGCACAGUUUCACCACUUUUUCUUCCCUUCUUCUUUUUCUUCUCUUCAAACCACCAAAACCCAUGUGAGAUUUUAGCCAAGUUCGGCCCUACCCCACGAGCCGCAACCACCAAACGAACCCGACGACCCGCAAUCCCACCCAACCCUCCUCCCCCAUCCCCUCACCCAUUGGUGCGCCAACCAAAACUGCAAACCCUUCGCCGUCGAUCCUCUCGAUCCCCGGAGCUCCUCCGAUUGCGACUGGUUCUCCGACGCCGCCUCCGAUUCAGACCAUGACGUCAGCUACUUCGUCACCGAUCUAUUCAAUCGCUGCAGCUCCGAGCAACAGCCCAAGACCGAGAGGGAGAGUUUUGGAUAUGGAAGCUCGAGUUGGGGUGGUGGUGGAAGGAAAGCAGAGAGCUUCGAAUUCAGCUCAAGGAGAUGUGGCGGUAUCGCCUGGCAUCAUGUAGGCCGGGCAAGAGCUCAGCACAUUCUGAGCCGGCCUAGAGACCAGCUUGGGCUGGGUGCCAGCCUAUCUGCUCGGCUGGAAUGGAUUGGCUGGGUGCCGGGCCAAUAAUUUGGCUGGGUGCUGGCCUAAAGGUUCCCCGGUGGAACUGCUCUUAUAGGAGUGGUGGCAGCUUGAUAGGCGUCCGCCUAGCCAAUGGAGGUGGCGAAAAAACGAUAUUUUUUUAUUUUUUAUUUCAUUUUUUCAAUAAAAUCGAAGAGACUUUUGAAUACUUAGAGCAUCUCCAAAAAAUAUGUUAAAUAUAAUAGGUUAAAAUUUUAUUUGAUGGUUGAUGUGAUAAAUUGAAUACAAGUGCUUUUUUUUUUUACCCAAUGAAUGUAUCAAAUAUUUAUUUUAUUAUUUUAUUGGGCCUAAAGUUACAUUAACUAUUAAAAAAUAAUAAAAAAAUAUUGUAGUUUUAUUUUAUUGGUUGUUAAUGAGACCCACGUAUUAAAAAAUUCAAUUAAAUAUAUUUGAUUCCUUCUUUGUUUGUUGUAAAAAAAAGACAGCUAGAAAGUAAACCGAAGAUCAAAAGCGCCACCAGCACCAUUUCCUCUCCAGUCUCUCCCCCUCACGCCGUUCCUCCGACGCCGCACCGCCCGCAACCACCGCUAAUUUUGAUCAAGACCGAGAUUGGGAUAGAGAGAGAGAGAGAGAGACCGAGAGAGAGACGGAGAUCGAGAACGCAUUCCUUUAAUGGCAAGGACGGAGCUACCAUGGGCCUAGGGGCGGAUGCCCCCACUGAGAUUUUUCUGAUGCUGACUCUUUUGCGGGAUUGAUUCUCAGAGGACGAGUACUGUGUGCUGCCUUAUGAUUGCCAUCCUCAUUAUAUGGCAUAGAAUAGAUUGACAUUCGAGCCCAUAUUCAUUGAUUAAUUUUUCCUUUUCCAGAUUAAUCCCUAUCUUCUUCACCCUGAGAUGAAUAUCAUCAGCAGUUCGUUGGUCCUACAAAGCGUCGUGCACCAACAUUUAUCUUGUCUCCACCUUUCGGCUUUCACAUUAAGCUUAUAGUUUGACAAAUGUCCCAGCGAAAGAUAAUUUUCAUCAUGCUGGCAUGCUGCUCAAACUGAUCGGGUUUUGCAGCAGCAGAGGCAGAGCCCCCACUGAUAUUUUUCUGGUUUUGCUCUCCGAUCUGGUUCUGCAAAAGCAGAGCUAGGUUUUAUUUUUUUUUUAAAUCCAGGCCAAAACGACGUCGUUUUGGUCCUGGUAUAAAAAAAAUAGUAAACGAAACGGCGUCGUUUCGUAUAUGUUUGAAAAAAAUAAAAGGUAUGUAUAGUGGGGGACUGCUUGUCCCCACCCGGUCCACCCCCAUUCCAUUAUUUCCAUCUUUCCGUUUCCUUUGCCAAUCAGAGAGCAGCUCUUCACCAAUUCCCCAAAUUCCAAGCAGGCAGCAGCAGAAACGGAACAGAACAGAAGCAACAAAGGUGUUGUUCCCAGGCUCCCAGCCAACCACGCGCAGCCAGCCACUCACCAGCCAGCCGCUCUAGUCGACAUAUAUAUAUUUAGGUAAUUUUUUUAAUUUCUAAAUCUAUAAUCCCUAACCCUAAUUAAUUAUUUAAGAUGAAUUUUUGUUUAAUUGGUAUAGAAAUAUAGAAUCAUAUGGUAAUGCACUAAUAUGGUUAUUGGUUAUUGAUAUGAAUUCUAUGAUUAUUGAUGAAUGAAAUUAUGAAAUUACAAAUUCUAUGAAUAUGGGUAUACAUUUAUUCAUAUGAUUAGUUGAAUUAAAUGUUUAUUUGUUGAAUAAUUUGUAUGUUUAUUGGUAUUGCCAUAUUGGUUAUUGGUUAAUUGAAUUGUUGCCUUGGUUGGAUAUGGAUUAGUUAUUAAGUAUAUUAAUAUAGUAUACUCUAGGAUUAAGAGUCUAAGAAUUUUAUUGAGAUUUUUAUUCUAUAAAUUCUACAAAUUACGUAUGAACCUUAUUUGUUAUUGGUAUCAAUAUGAUUGACUUUGCAGACUGAAACAUCAUGGAGAGGUUUUUUAAAAAAAAAUAUUAGUGCCGCCAUCCCCAGUUAUUGAGAAAAAUUAUGAUACUCAAGGACAAGAUAGUACAUAAUUUAUUUUAUCAAAUCUUCCAUUAGAUCCUGGUAAGCGAAUUCGAAUUUUGGAUUACAAUCCUAAUAUUCGAGAUCAAGUACGAAGAGCGUAUGUGCUAGCUGGUCCUCAACAACCUAAAACCCAUAAUUUUCCUUACAAGAAAUAUGGAGACACGCAAAGACGAUUCAACCCUGCUUGGUUUGAUGAUUUUCCUACUUGGUUGGAAUAUAGUGUAGAAAAAGAUGCUGCCUUUUGUCUGUGUUGCUACCUUUUUAAACCAAACAUUGGAGAACAAGCAGGUGGUGAUUUCCUUGUUGGCGAAGGAUUUUCUAACUGGAAGAAGAAAGAAAGACUUCUAACUUAUAUUGGAGGCGUCAAUAGUGCACACAAUCAAGCAUGGAAUAGUUUUGAAGCUUUAAGGAGUCAAAAGCAACAUAUCCAAUCUUUUUUCUCUAAAACUCAUGAUGAAGCUCGGAUUCAAUAUAGGGCUCGGUUGAAUGCAUCAAUCGAUUGUUGUCGAUUUCUUUUGAGACAAAGACUUGCAUUUCGUGGUAAUGAUGAAUCUGAACAUUCAAGCAAUCAUGGGAACUUUCUUGAGCUUCUACAGUUUCUUGCCAACCAUAAUAAGGAUGUGAAAGCCGUUACUUUGAAAAAUGAUCCGGAGAAUCACUAAUUGACAUCACCAGAUAUUCAAAAAGACAUUGUAAAUGCUUGUGCAACUGAGACCAUCAGGGCUAUUAUUAAAGACAUUGGCACUUCGUUGUUUUCUAUUUUGAUUGAUGAAUCUCGCGACGUAUCAACAAAGGAACAAAUGGCUAUUGUAUUGCGUUAUAUGGACAAGAAUGGGCAUGUCAUUGAGCGCCUUAUUGGCAUUGAGCAUGUUACUAGUACCGCUGCUCUCUCACUCAAGGAAACCAUUGAUGAGGUAUUUUCUAGGCAUAAAUUGAGCAUGUCUAGGUUGCGUGGGCAAGGUUACGAUGGGGCCAGCAAUAUGCAAGGUGAGUUCAAUGGUCUUAAAGCUCUAAUUAUGAAAGAAAAUGGUUGUGCUUAUUAUAUUCAUUGCUUUGCACAUCAACUUCAAUUAGCUCUUGUAGCUGUGGCAAAGAAGAACAUCCAAAUUGAGUCUCUUUUAGUAUAGUUACUAUUUUGGUAAAUGUUGUUGGAGCUUCAUCGAAGCGUUGUGAUCUUCUUCGAGAGAAGCAAUCUAUUGCAGUUAUUGAAGCACUAAACAGUGGUGAGUUUACAAGUGGGAAAGGCAAAAAUCAAGAAACUACUUUGAAACGUGCUGGAGAAACACGUUGGGGUUCACAUUUGGGUACUUUAGUAAGUAUAAUGACUAUGUUUUCAUCCAUACUUGAUGUACUUGAAGUAAUAGCAGAUGAUGGAGUAAGCUCUCAACAAAGAUGUGAAGCGAAUAAUUUAUUGGAUUCCAUGCAAUCAUUUGAUUUUGUGUUUAAUCUACACUUGAUGAAAGAUAUACUAGGAAUAACCAAUGAAUUGUCAAGCAUUGUAAAGGAAGGAUCAGGAUAUUGUAAAUGCCAUGAAGUUGGUUGGAGUUUGUAAGCAAAGGUUGGAGAUAAUGAGGAAAACUGGUUGGGAUUCUUUACUUAGUGAAGUCUCAAAAUUUUGUCUUAAACAUAAUAUUGAUGUGCCUAAUAUGGAUGAUAUGUUUCUUUCUCAAAGGCGAGGGCAACGAAAAGCACAAGCAGUCACAAAUAUGCAUCAUUAUUGUGUUGGGAUAUUUUAUGUUGUUUUGGAUUGGCAGCUCCAAGAACUAAAUAAUCGUUUCAAUGAGACCAACACUGAGUUACUUCUUUGUUUGGCAUGUUUAUGUCCAGCUGACUCCUUCUCUGCUUUUGAUAGCCAAAAGCUAUUGCGUCUUGCCCAGUUUUAUCCUAAAGACUUCUCUUUGAAUGAGCUGGUGAUACUUAAGAUUCAACUUGAGACUUACAUUGUGGAUAUGCGAUCUAGCAUUGAGUUUUCAGGUUUAAAAGACAUUGGAGAUCUUGCAAAGAAAAUGGUUCACUGCAAAAAGCACAAGGUGUAUUCGCUGGUUUACUUGUUUUUGACAUCCAGUUGCUACUGCAACCGUUGAAAGAGCAUUUUCGGCCAUGAAAAUUCUGAAGAAUCGAUUGAGAAAUCGGAUGGGAGAUCAAUGGAUGAAUGAUAACAUGAUUAUUUUUAUAGAGAGAGAGAUAUUUGAUGGUAUUGAUAAUGAUGUUGUCAUGCAACGCUUUCAGAACAUGAAAACGCGUCGAGGGAUAUUGUAAGGGACUGUUGUAUGAAAAACUUUCUGGAUUAAUAUACAAGUAUGUGUUUAGUAAAUUCUUGAGCUUUUUAAUUAUGACUUUAUUAUUUGAUGAUGCCCUCAUUCACACAAAUCUCUGGCUUCGUCCCUGUUUAAUGGUGCUGCUUCCGCCCUCGCUUUCUUAGCCGGAAGAUUUGUUAAGAUUCGCUUUCUUAUGUAUGCUGUGUUACUGAUUGGUUUGGCGAUGCAGGCACAAGAUUGCAGGCAGCUGGAAAGUCAGAUAAGGAGGAAGAAGAAGGAUCUGAUAGUUUUGGGAUUCUUAACCGCUUUGAUGGUCAUCAUCGUUAUAGUUAUAGGAGUGGUGGCAGCUUGAUAGGCGUCCGCCUAGCCAAUGGAGGUGGCGAAAAAACGAUAUUUUUUUAUUUUUUAUUUCAUUUUUUCAAUAAAAUCGAAGAGACUUUUGAAUACUUAGAGCAUCUCCAAAAAAUAUGUUAAAUAUAAUAGGUUAAAAUUUUAUUUGAUGGUUGAUGUGAUAAAUUGAAUACAAGUGCUAUUUUUUUUUUCCCCAAUGAAUGUAUCAAAUAUUUAUUUUAUUAUUUUUUUGGGCCUAGAGUUACAUUAACUAUUAAAAAAUAAUAAAAAAAUAUUGUAGUUUUAUUUUAUUGGUUGUUAAUGAGACCCACGUAUUAAAAAAUUCAAUUCAAUAUAUUUGACUCCUUCUUUGUUUGUUGUAAAAAAAAGACAGCUAGAAAGUAAGGCGUCAAAUGACUCACAUGUCACAUCAUAUAUGGCAUAUCCAUUGGAUAACACCUAAAUGUCUUUUAAUCUUAUUUGACAUCUCCUUUGGAGAUGGUCUUAUAUGAACAUCUAUUAUAAGGUUGUUCUCUUGUUUUCAGUAUGUUCUAAUAUUUUAUAAUUUAUGUCAUUUUAAUUUGCAAUGUAUGUAUCCAAUACAAUUAUGUAUUUUUAAGUAUGCCACGUUAUGUACUAUUUACUUGAUAAUUUGAAUCAAAUCCACACCAUCUCAAAAAAAUUCCAAUCCAUCUCAAUACAUUUGGGUCAAAACUUGGAGUUGCAAAGCACGGCAGACUACAAUUUGAAAAUUACUUUUCAGGUUUUAUAAAUAAAUAAAAAAUCACUUUUCAAUUAAAAAAAAAAACACCUAACCCGAAUCAAAAAAAUUGAACCAAAAUCAAACUUAACCUAAGAAAAUUGAAUGAAUAGUAAUUUCAGUUUGAUUUUCGUUUUGACAAAAAACUGACCGAUUGAAACGGACCCACCCUUUAUGAUAGGUUUGGUUCCUUGUAUAAUGAAUAGGUGACAUGCAUCAAAAUCUACUAUGUUUCAUUUCUUGUAUUUAUGCAACAAAAAGUUCUUCUCCUAUAAUUAAUCAUGUAUAUCAAUUCUUUCUUAGUAAUUCUCAAAACUACAUUUUCAGCCAAGAGUUAAUCAAAUGUGGUAGUUACAUGUAAAGACAGAGAAGACACUUACAUAUUAAUAUUGAACUAAUAUUAAAGCAUUACAACUAGAAUAUUUUCAAGUUAAAUCAUCACUUUAUUGAACCUAAAAGAGAGAGAAGCUAAUAAAUUAGGAAAAGGAAAUUGAUAGCAGGUAUUGUCAAAUCUAUGAAAAAAGGAUAUGGAUACUCUAAGCUUGAGAGGAAUGCAAAGAACAUGCUAAUUAGUCAUUCCCCAUAAAAUUAAUUAAGUUCCUUCAAUUUUAUUAUCAUAAAUUGUUUGCAUGAUUAAUUUAUUAGGUGUGGCUAGUGAUGAAAGAAAGCAUGUUGUUCCUAAUUGGAGGACUAGCAAGGUGUUUAAGAUGCAACAAAUGAGGUGAUGGGUAGAGUCUUGAGAAACUAUGGGGAGGGGAGCAGGAGAAACUAGUUCACGAAAAAGAAAACCCAUUUCUAUUCAAACCCUAAAGCCCAUUUCUAUUCAAACCCUACACCCAAGUCAAAGCCACAACAACCAAACCAAAACCAUUAAACAAUGAAGGAAUUUAACACAAAGUGACAAACAUAUACAUUGGGAUAGCAGAAAAGUCUAAACCCACUUCAAACCCUCAAACACUGACAUUACAAAACAACCCACCGACAAAUUUCACAAGAAAACAACACCCACUUAUCAAACUGAACAAAAGCCAUAUUGGGACCACUAAAAGUAAAGGAGAUUCGAUUUACUAACCAUAUUGUGGAGGCUUUCCAUUUUUUCGAUAUAUUUUUGCAUCGCAAUCAACCUAAAUCACCCUCGCAAACAACCAAAUUCGAAUUAUUCUUGACAAUCCUAUAAUUUAGUCGAAUCUAAUAGGUUUCAUUGAAUCUUAUGUAAAAAAUCCCCAAUAUUUUUUCAAACCCCAAGUCUUACAGUAGAAAAGAAUUUGUAGAAAGUGAAGAAAAGUAAGGGAUUAGGUGGGACCAAGGUAUUAAAUAUCGAUGAUAUCGGAAAUAUCGGUAGUCCGAAAACACGGAAAUAUCAGGAUAUUAUCGAUAUCGAUAAAAAUAAUAUGGAAACCACAGAAAUUGUAAGAAAAACUUGAAAAUUUUUAUUGAAACUUUGCAGGAUGUUUAUUUAGUCAAUUAUCUAUUAGUUUAUCACAAAAAAUUGGAAGGAAAUGCAUUGCAUGAUGGAUUUAACAUUAUCAAGUUGAUUAUAUAACGAGCUGGCAAACAUUGUGAAUGUAGAAAAUAUGUAGUAAUUAAUGAAAGAAGUUUAAACACACCAUAAUCAUUUAUAUAUAAUGAAUUAGUACAAUAUUUUACACUUUAUACAUUGCAUGGUAAAAUACAUGAGUGACUUAGUACCACAUAGAGUUCCUAUGAGGUUCAAAUUUUUCACUAUCUUCAUCAUCUCUAUGUGUAGAGUGAGUGUAUUGUGAAGAGUAGUUAUCAAAUGAUAAAUCCCCAAAAUAGUUUUGCAUGUAAUUGUUAACAUGCCACCCAUAUGGAUCCGAGAUUGGUUGACGUUGUUCAUAAGCAAAAUCAUUUGAAGAUUGAGUCUCGGAUUGUUUCCAUGAGUCGCUCGAUUCCAUUCCAACAUGAAUGGGAUAUGAAGGGUAGGGAAAUGGUUGGUUAUGAGUAUAACCAUAGUUACUACUUCCCACUCCAACAGAGUUUGAAGUUAUAGAUAACGAGUCAUCUUCUUGACUUGACAAAAUCCCCUUACCUCUUUCUCUACGAGUAUAGUCAUUCCCUAUGGCACCAAUUCCUAGUCAUGCCCGCCUACUGCCAUAGUCCUCAUCAUGUGUUGCAUGCGUGAAGUUUGCCUCACCAGUGAAAGGGCUCAUAAAUCCGGGAGGUGGUCCAACAUAGUUUCCAUAUCCACCACCACUACCUCCAGCUCCACUAUAUCCUUCAUCAUUCCCACCUCUGGUGGUAGGUGAGUCUCCUGAUCUUGUACUAGAGCUAUCAUUAGUAUCAGCACGAUAUUGUGGUUGUGUAGGGUUGGAAGAAUGUGGACUUCCAGUGUUUCUUGGUCUUGGGCACAAAAGUUCUUCCAAAGAGUCAGCGCUGCUAGAUCCCACCUCCUCCUCUAAUACUCUUUCUACAUUUAUCCCUUCAUUACGUGCUUCUUCAGCAACUCUGAGAGCUGGGUUGCCUUCAUCAUCAUCUAAAUGAAGAGGUCUAAUCCAAUGAUAAAGUUGGUUACCCUCUGUAUCAUCAUCUUCAGCAAUAAUAUCAAACACAUCUAGUGGGUCACCAUGGUCGACAUGAUCUAUUUUUGCUUCCUUAUCUCGAAUUUGAAGCUUCAUGUUGUAGUAGCAAUAAACUAAUUUUUCCAACCUACUAUGAGCCAACCUAUUUCUUUGCUUUGUGUGUAUGAGUGCAAAUGUGCUCCAAUUUCUUUCACAAGCAGAUGAGGAAGCUGUUUGUGAUAAUACUUUGAUUGCUAACUUUCUCACAGUUGGUGCAUCGGUCCCAUACAUAAUUCACCAUUCAGCUACAAUGAAAAACAAUGUUGAUAAGCCUAAUAACUCCAACAAAUUCUAUUAUAAACUUAUCGUGAAAUAUGUUUACACUCACUAGGAGACAUUUUUGUUCGAGCAGCAACUGAUGUUGGUUCUCCAAAAGUUCUUCUUACAUCUUUAAACCAUGUUAGCUGAAUUCAAUAAAUCGUAUUAGUUUAAUCCAACAAAGUAAUUAUUAUCAUUUAAGUAAUUGUGUACCUUAUUUCCAAAUUGGUCAACUGCUGGUGAUGCAGGGUCUAAUUUAGAGUAUACAUUAUGUAAAGCACGUAUAAGGGUACCAUCAUCUCCAAUACCGGGUUUGUAUUGGUAUCGAGGAUUUAAAUAAUAUAUUGUUCAAAGAACACAUACUCUAAUAAGAGAAAUAAUACUUAUGCAACUAAAGAAAUGAAUUGCAAAUUAUGACAUAAUUUAUACAUGCUGCAUGCAAAUCGUGGUAUAAUGUUUUAUACCAUCGGUCUUCAAUUAUCUUUAUGACCCACCUUGCACCAUGUUUUCUUUCCAAUUCAUCCUUCACUACACACAUCAACUCAUAUAUUGCCCCUACAGUAGGAUACACUUCUGUGUCAACGAUCCGUAAAACUUUGUAAAGAGGUUCAAACACUUGGCACACAUGUUCUGAUUGAGUCUAAAAAGCAUGAUCAAGCAUUAUACUUUCCACCAUACGACCUACAUUUGAGCGGCUCAAAUUGUGGUUAUCCCAAUCGUCACUAGUGAAUAGUUGCUUCAACCCUAUUUUCUUCUUAAAUAGGUUGUCUAAUGCAAUAUAGUUGGUGGUGAAUCGAGUGGUAGCUAGACGAAUAAUGUCUCAUUUGCAAAAUUCACGCAUCUUUGCCAACAACCAACCGUGAUUGUAAAUAUAAUUUGUGAUCGUUCUAGCUCUUUUUACCACAGUAGCAACAUUCUCUCUCUUCCCCAUUGCCUCAAACAUGAGAUCAAUAAAAUGUGUUGCACAUGAUGUCCAAAACACAUUAUGAUGCUUCAUUAACUUUUUUUCAGCUUUGACAAAUGCAGAACCGUUGUCGGUCACGACUUGGACAACAUUAUGCUUUCUUACCUCCAUGAUUACAUCCCUCAAUAAUUUGUAAAUAUACUUGUAGUUCUUUAUAUGGUCUGAAGCAUCAACAGACUUAAAAAAAUGUCUUUCCCUUGGAGUAUACCAUGAAAUUUAUGAUAGACAAUCUGGUCGGGCUAGUCCAUCCGUCACACAUGAUUGUGCAACCAUUAGUUUCCUACUUUGACCUCAACUUGUUAACAUACUCGCCAAUGUCUUUAUACUUCAUAUCCAAAUAUUUGUUUCUUAUCUCAUAGGGAGUGGGAGGUUGUACUUCAACACCGGCCUGUUGACAUCCCACUACCAUAUUUUUGAAAUGAUGUGAUGAUACUUUCUUAGCAGGGACAUUUUCAUAGAUAAAGAACUUGCUAAUUAGACGCCUCAUUCCCUCCUUCACAUUACCUCCAAUGAAAUAACUCCAAACACUCUUUUGACGUGCUUUGGAUGACUUAUAUAAAUUUGGGGCUAUUGGUGGUGUUAGUUGUGAUUCUUUAAGACUGCCUCCCCGUAUCAUUUGUACACCACCACUUGUCCCUGAACCUUGUGCUCUAUUAGGAAUUUUAUGAAGGUGUUCUCUUUCCCAUGUUGAUUGUUUGGAGGCACGUAAUGCUUGUUUCAAACUGCGUCGUUCUUCAAGUCUCAUGCCAUCAUCACAUUCGUCCUCAUCGUCAUCAUCAUCACUGCCAACCGCUUGGCCAAUGACUUCUCCUCGUAGCCCAGCUCGAAUAUUUUCCAUUCCAUGUGUUAUCUUUUCCUUUUGCUGUUUUUUAUUUUUUUAAUAAUGUGCUGAUGAAUGCCUUCACUUCUGGGGGGACAUUAUCGCAUAGUUGGACAUUUUUUGCUGGAUCUAAUCCACUAAGAUGGUACUUAAGUCGUGUCACUCCGCCACUCUUCAUUACCCGACCACAAUAUUUGCAAAUUGUGCCAUGUUUGUUUCCGUCUAUUGGGUCUCCAUGUUCCCAAGCUGGAUCACGUUUAGCAACUCCACUGGACAUCUUAAACGUACCUAUAUUUAUUUUUCAUGAAAAUUAGAUAAUUAUUUUUUGGCCAAAAAAUAUAGUAGUGAUGACGGUUAUAUAAGAGAACCUAAAUAAUAAAGUUAUUCUAGAGAAGAAUUAAAUGAAAAUGAUUGUAAAAAUUUAAGUAAUUAUAAAAAUAAUAUGGAAUAAUAAAACCUAAAUUAAUGAAUAAUAAUCCAAUUUGAUAAAAAAAUAAUCCUUAAUAUAAAAACAUAGUGAUGAAUAAUAAUCCAAUUUGAUAAUAAUCCAAUUUAAUAAUAAUCCAAUUUGAUAAUAAUCCAAUUUAAUGAAUAAUAAUCCAAUUUGAUAAUAAAAAAAAACCUAAUAUUAAUGAAUAAUAAUCUAAUUUGAUAAUAAAACCUAAUAUUAAUAAAAUAAUAAUAACAUUAAACAUAUUAAAAUUAUCCUAGGGAAUAAUUAUACAACAUUACUUAAUUACUUAAAAAAAUUAACAUGUAAUUGUUAACAUUACUUAAUUACUUACAAAAAUUAACAUGCAAGUAUUAAUUACUUAAAAAAAUUAACAUACGAGUCCACACAAAUUUUUUUGUUGUUGUAUAAAUUACAAUAAUAUAAAUAUAAGUUUGUAAACUUACUUUAACUAUGGAACCCUUUGUGUUCAAGCUCUGGAAUGGAUCUGGAAUGGCUUUGAAAGGGGUAAGGGAAGAAGAAGAAACGAAAAUGCUCUGAAUGGCUCUGAUACUCCACCUCUGAGAAUGUGAAAGAAUAUCAUAGACAGUGGCACACGGUUUUGAAUGUGAAAGAAUAUCAUAGACUCAUAGUGGCACACGGUUUCAUUAUGAAAGCACUAUUACUUUUGUCCAUGGUCUGAAAUUGUAAAAAGUGAUUGUAAAAGUUGUCAGGUGAGUCAAAUAACCCAACCACACACACACACAGAGACACGCCACCACACACGCACACAACACAACACACGCACACAGUCCCUCCCUCUCGAUCCUUCUCUCUUCUCUGAGCUCCCUUAUCCCCUUUCUCCAUUCUCCCACACACAUGCACAGAGACCCAAGGUCUCUCGAUCCUUCUCCCACACACACGCACAAAGACCCAAGGUUUCUCGAUCCUUCUCUCACAUCGCCUUCUGCUCCUCCCUCGUUGGCGCCUUCUCUCUCCUUUCUCUCUGCACCGAGGGUCCGAGACCCACAUACACACACGCACACCAUCGCACCUGCUUCAGGAAGACACCCAUCAUCAUCAGCAACCUUGUCUUUCUCCCUCUCCUUCUCAUCUCUGCAACUCGGCGAAUACAGGAACUCUGGCAAGUUUCUUGAAUUUCUCCAGUUAGGUAAGCUUCGGGUUUGCCUCUUUUUGUUCUAGAUUGAAGCUUAUAUGUGAAAUUUAAGUUCAAAAUCGUGUUUUUGCAAGGUUUUUGGGAUGAAAUCGGCUCAGGAAUAGGCACACCCAUCUCCGGCGAGGCCGUGGGUGUCGACGAACUUUCUUAACACCUUCGACCGUUUCACGGAAAACGGAAUUUAUAAAAACAUUCAUCUCGUCUUCUAUUUCAUUUUGAUACCUAGAUCGGAGUCUAGGGUGUUCUUUUGCAGUCGGCCGGAGCUGUAGAAGCUCCGGCGUUUUUCUUCGAUUAGCACAGUUUCAAAAUAUCGCGAUAGUUUUGGAAAUAUCGCGAUAUUAUCGAUAAUAUCGCGAUAUUUUGACGAAAACCCGUUGGAUACCUAUUAAAAUAUCGGUAACGUGAAAAAUCGAUAAUAUCGACGAAAUAUUGCCAAUAUUAUCAGCAUUUGAGACCUUGGGUGGGACAAGUGAAAAAGUGGGAAGGGAGGAAAAGAUUAGUAGGGUAUUAUUGUCAUUUACCAUGAAAAAGUUGUCACAUAUCCUUUUUUAACUUUGAUUUGGAUGGAACACUAAUGGAAGGUCGACAUUGAUUCGCGAGGUUAAAAUUCAGGGACUACACUGAUCGAUUUUCAAUUUCAGAGAACAUCAUGAUUGAUAGGGUCAAUUUCAUAAAUCAUUUGUGAUAAAAACCCAAAUAGAAAAUAACUGAAAGUAUCAUCUGACUAAUCACCACUAAACGGGAAAGUCUGCUUAUGUGGAAGAAUGGUCAAAGUUUUAAAUUUGAAUUCAGGAUUUUUCCUAAAACAUGCCAAUGCCGUGUGUAUGUAUCGCCUAAUUAUGAUAUGACUGUUGGGCCUUCAUUUUCAACUAUCUAUUUUGUCUUGGGUGUGAACUUUUUUCCUUCCGGUCCUUUCCGGUCCUAGUGUAAGUUAAAAAUAGUAAUUCGUUUGUAUUAAAACAACUAUAAAUAAUAGUUCAGUAAAGACUUAUGAUAAAAAUCAAAUUAGGCUAAGCCACACAAUUGAAUGCAUAAUAAUGUGGAUCAAAUUCGCUAUUUAUAAAUCGAACUUGAGAUUUCUCACUUAAAAAUGAAAAAUAAUAUCUCUAGAUCAUAAUACAUCAGUACGUCAAUUUUUGUCUUUAUAAACUAGCCAAAUAAAAAAUGAAUUGGCCUAAUGGAGGUUGUUAAUAGAGAAAUGACUUUACUGAAAUCGGGAAUACAACUUUAAAAGAAGAACAAUUAGAGAAUACUCUCUGCUUACGUAAACUUCAAAAUUCAAAUCCCCCUUUGCUGUCUCUAAUGUUUUGAGUACUUAGAGAACCUAGCCAGCAACCAUAAUAACCACAAUCACAAGUUCCUAGCCCACUAUAGCAUAGUAAAUGACUAUUACUAAAUGACAGCACAAUUCCUAAUUAAAACACCGCGUGCAAGAAAUCAAGUUAGUAAGAAGUAUUCAAUCGAAUUUGAACCAGCCACCAAACUACAUUGAUGGCACUGCAUCAUGGCCACAUGAUUAUAAUUUCCUUGACCUCAGGUCAGCGUGGAAGAUGGCAAGGAAACUACUUCGCAUAUUGUGAAGUCGAGAAAAGAGACCUUAUCAUAAGUUCAUAACACAAGAGAUGGAUCAGUCUUUGACAUUUAAUCUCUCAGCCUCUCAUCAUUUUUAGUAAUCGAACGAUCAUGGAUUCAACGACCAAUGAAGGAGCCUCUUCCUCUUCUUCUUUCACCCAUUCAUGGACAUAUGAUGUCUUCCUUAAUUUUAGAGGAGAGGAUACCCGCUACAAUUUUGUAGGUCAUCUGUACUACAAUUUGGUUCAGAAGGGAAUCAAAACCUUCAUAGACGAUGAGGCGCUUAAAAGAGGAGAGGAAAUAUCGUUGGCGCUUCUCAAAGCAAUCGAGCAGUCGAGGAUUUCUCUUGUUGUCUUCUCCAAAAACUACGCUUCCUCACAGUGGUGCUUAGAUGAACUCAUUCACAUCUUUCACUGUAAAGAACAACUGCAGCAAAUGGUUAUUCCAGUUUUUUACAAGGUGGAUCCAUCGGAUGUGAGGAACCAAAGAGAGAGUUUCGGUAAGGCACUUGCUGACCAUGAAAGCAAACUCAAGGAUAACAUGGACAAGGUGUUGAGAUGGAGAAAAACUCUUACAAAAGCAGCAAAUUUGUCUGGCUGGUCGUUCCUGGCCGACGGGUAUUUUUCUGAUCUCUAUGUACUUGCAAACCUAUCAUUCAAAUGUAAAAUAAGCUUAUUAUUUGCUUCAAUUCAUAAGCAUAAUAU
rnacentral:lncRNA from 1 species